AACGAACGCUGGCGGCAGGCUUAACACAUGCAAGUCGAACGGGUGAAGCAAUACAUCAGUGGCAGACGGGUGAGUAACACGUGGGAACCUUCCUAGGGGUACGGAACAACUCAGGGAAACUUGAGCUAAUACCGUAUACGUCCGUGAGGAGAAAGAUUUAUCGCCCUUAGACGGGCCCGCGUCGGAUUAGGUAGUUGGUGGGGUAACGGCCUACCAGGCCUACGAUCCGUAGCUGAUCUUAGAGGAUGAUCAGCCACACUGGGACUGAGACACGGCCCAGACUCCUACGGGAGGCAGCAGUGGGGAAUCUUGGACAAUGGGCGCAAGCCUGAUCCAGCCAUGCCGCGUGAGUGAAGAAGGCCUUAGGGUUGUAAAGCUCUUUUACCAGGGACGAUAAUGACGGUACCUGGAGAAUAAGCCCCGGCAAACUUCGUGCCAGCAGCCGCCGUAAAAC
rnacentral:rRNA from 1 species